UACGUAGGGUGCGAGCGUUGUCCGGAAUUAUUGGGCGUAAAGGGCUCGUAGGCGGUCUGUUGCGUCAGGGGUGAAAACUCGGGGCUUAACCCCGAGCCUGCUUCUGAUACGGGCAGACUAGAGGUAUGCAGGGGAGAACGGAAUUCCUGGUGUAGCGGUGAAAUGCGCAGAUAUCAGGAGGAACACCGGUGGCGAAGGCGGUUCUCUGGGCAUUACCUGACGCUGAGGAGCGAAAGCAUGGGGAGCGAACAGG
rnacentral:rRNA from 1 species